CUACGGGCGGCACCAGUGGGGAAUAUUGGACAAUGGGGGAAACCCUGAUCCAGCAAUGCCGCGUGUGUGAAGAAGGCCUGCGGGUUGUAAAGCACUUUCGGUUGGGAGGACUGCUUCUAGCACUAAUAUUGUUGGAAGUUGACGUUACCUUCAGAAGAAGCACCGGCUAGCUCCGUGCCAGCAGCCGCGGUAAUACGGAGGGGUGCAAGCGUUAAUCGGAAUUACUGGGCGUAAAGCGCGCGUAGGCGGCUAGAUCAGUCGGGUGUGAAAGCCCCGGGCUUAACCUGGGAACUGCAUCCGAUACUGUCUAGCUUGAGUACAGGAGAGGAGAGUGGAAUUCCACAUGUAGCGGUGAAAUGCGUAGAUAUGUGGAGGAACACCAAUGGCGAAGGCAGCUCUCUGGCCUGAUACUGACGCUGAGGUGCGAAAGCGUGGGGAGCAAACAGGAUUAGAUACCCGUGUAGUC
rnacentral:rRNA from 1 species